rnacentral:lncRNA from 1 species
CAAUGAAGUUGUUGUUUCACGGAUUGAUUGUGUCAACAUCCAUGGAGUCCUUACCAUGUGCCAGUAACUGGGCAAAGUGCUGAGGACACAAAAGUAAAAAGGACAGCCUGUGUCCUCCUUCAGAUCUCGUGACCCUGGCAAGCGGGCAGCUGGGUCCCCGCAGGACAGAGGUCUGGGAGAAUUGCUGGUGUUUGCGCACGUGCAAGUGCCUGCAGACUGCAGAGUGCAAAGCCAAGAAGCGGCAGAGGAUGGAGACCAGAGGCAAAGCAAGGAUUCAGAUUAAUGGACAGCCCUGUCGGAGUCAAACAAAGACCCAGCCUGGGAAGCCAACACCAGGUUAUCUUCCCUCUGUGGCCUCCAGCGGGUCACCCUGUGAUGCUGCAGUUCCCCAGUCUUUGCAAACGGGGGAGAGAUGACUACUGACUUCCGCGAUGAUUCAUGCUGGUUGUUUACAGCAGAGAAGGAGGCAGUGCGGUGCCUGCACGUCUUGGAAUUAGCCGAGCUGUGAGGGUGCACCGAGGCCAGCACCGGGCUUCCCGGGAGCUGACAACCGUGCAAAGCACCGGGCCAUGGGGCAGUGUUCCAUUUUGUUUCCUCUGGACAGCUGGCAAGAUGGAGUCCCUCGGAGGACUUAACCUAGUGCUUUCACGUCAAAGGAGAAAAAAGGAGUCAUUCCCCCAUACAACGUGGAAGACCCAAAGGUUCAGAGGACCCGUCAUCUGUGUAGAGUGGAUGGGCUCUUCUGACUGGGGGGUGUCUCGGCUCCAGAGCUCACCACUGUCCUGUACCUGGGGAAGAAGCAUCCAUGCAUAUAAAUUAGGCUGA